UUACGGCCACAUCACAUUGAAGCAUGGGUUCCUGUUCGAUCACCGAAGUUAAGCAACGUCGAGCCUGGUCAGUCCCACGAUGGGUAACCUCUUGGGAAUACCAGG